AACUCAAAUUAAAAAAAAUUAAAGGAUCAGAAUUUGCUUUCUUGAGAUAAAGGAGACUGAAAUAAAUCGUGUUAAAUUUAGUAAGACUUACAAUACAUGACAUAUUUUUUAAUGUGAGUCACUGAAACUGUGUAACAGAGAUACAUGAUCGGAAACGAGUUAGUUAAAAAGAGAUGGAAGAAACAGCUGAGUCAACUGUGAGUGACGUGGGGAGGUACUAAGCUAUUAUACUUAUUUAUGUUACAUGACGUAGUGUUGACACAUAAUUGACAUUGAAUUAGAACAAAAAACUUUGUGAACAGAAGACACGAAUGAGUUUAAGAAAAUUAUAAAACUAAUAACUUCACGCUUUUAUUAAAAUAUCAGUAAUAUUUUCGGUUAUUUCUGUCUGAGAAACGUUUAUUCCUAGGUUGGCUAUAAAACAUCACUUCACGACCCAAUGAAGUUUUUCAAGCGUAACUUAUUAGAGUGAAACUGUGACAUAGAUAUCUGGAUUUCGUCUAAUUAUAGGAAUAGUUUUGCAAUAUCUCUUAAUUGUAAAUCGGGUAAAUCGUAUAUUAAUAUGUAAAUAGAAUUACAUACAAACAAACAAAGGAUUAUGUAUUAUAAAUGAAAUAAUACUGAUUGUCAGAAAAGUCUCAUUCAAAUAGUUUUUAUAUUUAAAGUAAAAAAUAAAUAAAUACGUAAACAUAUUUCUAAACGCCUAAAAAGCAAUUUUUCGUAAUAAUUCGCUGACACAGUUUCGUGUUUUUACGUGUCUUUAUAGUAAAUAGCUGUUUUUAGAGACACUUGAAGAGAUUUUGCUGAUGGA